rnacentral:rRNA from 1 species
GACCUCAAAUCAGGUAGGACUACCCGCUGAACUUAAGCAUAUCAAUAAGCGGAGGAAAAGAAACUAACAAGGAUUCCCCUAGUAACUGCGAGUGAAGCGGGAAAAGCUCAAAUUUAAAAUCUGGUGGUUCUUGUAGCCAUCCGAAUUGUAAUUUAUAGAAGUGUUAUCCGCGCUGGACGGUGUACAAGUCUCCUGGAAUGGAGCGUCAUANAGGGUGAGAAUCCCGUCUUUGACACGGACUACCANGGCGUUGUGAUGCGCUC